UACAGAGGUCUCAAGCGUUGUUCGGAUUCAUUGGGCGUAAAGGGUGCGUAGGCGGCGCGGUAAGUCGGGCGUGAAAUCUCGGAGCUUAACUCCGAAACUGCAUUCGAUACUGCCGUGCUUGAGUACUGGAGAGGAGAUUGGAAUUUACGGUGUAGCAGUGAAAUGCGUAGAUAUCGUAAGGAAGACCAGUGGCGAAGGCGAAUCUCUGGACAGUUACUGACACUGAGGCACGAAGGCCAGGGGAGCAAACGGG
rnacentral:rRNA from 1 species